GAUGAACGCUGGCGGCGUGCCUAAUACAUGCAAGUCGAGCGAACAGACGAGGAGCUUGCUCCUCUGACGUUAGCGGCGGACGGGUGAGUAACACGUGGAUAACCUACCUAUAAGACUGGGAUAACUUCGGGAAACCGGAGCUAAUACCGGAUAAUAUAUUGAACCGCAUGGUUCAAUAGUGAAAGACGGUUUUGCUGUCACUUAUAGAUGGAUCCGCGCCGCAUUAGCUAGUUGGUAAGGUAACGGCUUACCAAGGCAACGAUGCGUAGCCGACCUGAGAGGGGGAUCGGCCACACUGGAACUGAGACACGGUCCCGACUCCUACGGGAGGCAGCAGUAGGGAAUCUUCCGCAAUGGGCGAAUGCCUGACGGAGCAACGCCGCGUGAGUGAUGAAGGUCUUCGGAUCGUAAAACUCUGUUAUUAGGGAAGAACAAAUGUGUAAGUAACUAUGCACGUCUUGACGGUACCUAAUCAGAAAGCCACGGCUAACUACGUG
rnacentral:rRNA from 1 species